rnacentral:rRNA from 1 species
CGGAUGACUCUCGGCAACGGAUAUCUCGGCUCUCGCAUCGAUGAAGAACGCAGCGAAAUGCGAUACUUGGUGUGAAUUGCAGGAUCCCGCGAACCAUCGAGUCUUUGAACGCAAGUUGCGCCCGAAGCCUUCCGGCCGAGGGCACGUCUGCCUGGGUGUCACUC